UAGGGAAUCUUCCGCAAUGGGCGAAAGCCUGACGGAGCAACGCCGCGUGAGUGAUGAAGGUCUUCGGAUCGUAAAACUCUGUUAUUAGGGAAGAACAAAUGUGUAAGUAACUAUGCACGUCUUGACGGUACCUAAUCAGAAAGCCACGGCUAACUACGUGCCAGCAGCCGCGGUAAUACGUAGGUGGCAAGCGUUAUCCGGAAUUAUUGGGCGUAAAGCGCGCGUAGGCGGUUUUUUAAGUCUGAUGUGAAAGCCCACGGCUCAACCGUGGAGGGUCAUUGGAAACUGGAAAACUUGGGUGCAGAAGAGGAAAGUGGAAUUCCAUGUGUAGCGGUGAAAUGCGCAGGGAUAUGGAGGAACACCAGUGGCGAAGGCGACUUUCUGGUCUGUAACUGACGCUGAUGUGCGAAAGCGUGGGGAUCAAACAGG
rnacentral:rRNA from 1 species